rnacentral:rRNA from 1 species
UCAAAGAUUAAGCCAUGCAUGUCUAAGUAUAAACAAUCUAUACAGUGAAACUGCGAAUGGCUCAUUAAAUCAGUUAUCGUUUAUUUGAUAGUACCUUGCUAAUUGGCAUACGCCUGGCAAUUCUAGAGCUAAUACAUGCAUUCAAGCCCAACCUCUGGAAGGGCUGUAUUUAUUAGAUAAAAAAUCAACAUCAUAGAAGAUUCAUAAUAACUUGUCGAAUCGCAUGGCCUCGGGCCGGCGAUGGUUCAUUCAAAUUUCUGCCCUAUCAACUUUCGAUGGUAGGAUAGAGGCCUACCAUGGUUUCAACGGGUAACGGGGAAUAAGGGUUCGGUUCCGGAGAGGGAGCCUGAGAAACGGCUACCACAUCCAAGGAAGGCAGCAGGCGCGCAAAUUACCCAAUCCCGACACGGGGAGGUAGUGACAAUAAAUAACGAUACAGGGCCCUUUUGGGUCUUGUAAUUGGAAUGAGUACAAUGUAAAUACCUUAACGAGGAACAAUUGGAGGGCAAGUCUGGUGCCAGCAGCCGCGGUAAUUCCAGCUCCAAGAGCGUAUAUUAAAGUUGUUGCAGUUAAAAAGCUCGUAGUUGAAUUUUGGGGUGGCCCCAGGAGGUCCACUUAUUUGUGAGUACUUUUUGGGACUGCCCUUCCAUGGCAACCUCUUCUAGAGGGGGCCAUAAUUACUUUGAGUAAAUGAGAGUGUUCAAAGCAGGCAAGCGCUUGAAUCUUUUAGCAUGGAAUAAUAAAAUAGGACGAUGAUUCUAUUUUGUUGGUUUCUAGGACCAUCGUAAUGAUUAAUAGGGACGGUCGGGGGCAUUAGUAUUCAGUUGUAAGAGGUGAAAUUCUUAGAUUUUCUGAAGACUAACUACUGCGAAAGCAUUUGUCAAGGACGUUUUCAUUAAUCAAGAACGAAAGUUAGGGGAUCGAAGAUGAUCAGAUACCGUCGUAGUCUUAACCAUAAACUAUGCCGACUAGGGAUUGGGCGACGCCUCAUGUAUAUGACGCGCCCAGCACCUUACGAGAAAUCAAAGUUUUUGGGUUCUGGGGGGAGUAUGGUCGCAAGGCUGAAACUUAAAGGAAUUGACGGAAGGGCACCACCAGGAGUGGAGCCUGCGGCUUAAUUUGACUCAACACGGGGAAACUCACCAGGUCCAGACACAAUAAGGAUUGACAGAUUGAGAGCUCUUUCUUGAUUUUGUGGGUGGUGGUGCAUGGCCGUUCUUAGUUGGUGGAGUGAUUUGUCUGCUUAAUUGCGAUAACGAACGAGACCUUAGCUUUUAUUUGCGCAAGCUAACCUUAUGUUGGUUUUGGGCUAUAAAAGGACUAUCGAAUUCAAGUCGAUGGAAGUUUGAGGCAAUAACAGGUCUGUGAUGCCCUUAGACGUUCUGGGCCGCACGCGCGCUACACUGACGGAGCCAGCGAGUUUACCUUAGCCGAGAGGUUUGGGAAAUCUUGAGAAACUCCGUCGUGCUGGGGAUAGAGCAUUGUAAUUUUUGCUCUUCAACGAGGAAUUCCUAGUAAGCGCAAGUCAUCAGCUUGCGUUGAUUACGUCCCUGCCCUUUGUACACACCGCCCGUCGCUACUACCGAUUGAAUGGCUUAGUGAGGCCUCUGGAUUAAGUUUGGGAGUGGGGCAACCCAUUGCUAAGCUGAGAAACUGGUCAAACUUGGUCAUUUAGAGGAAGUAAAAGUCGUAACAAGGUUUCCGUAGGUGAACCUGCGGAAGGAUCAUUAAAAAUAAUUUAUACAACACUUUUAGGAGAAAAAACAUAAUAUUAAAUUUCAAUAAAAAGUUUAAAAAAAAAACUUUCAACAACGGAUCUCUUGGUUCUCGCAUCGAUGAAGAACGCAGCGAAUUGCGAUACGUAAUAUGACUUGCAGACGUGAAUCAUUGAAUUUUUGAACGCACAUUGCGCCUUAAGGUAUUCCUCAAGGCAUGCGUGGAUGAGCGAUAUUUACUCUCAAACCUUUGGUUUGGUUUUGUAAUCCUAAAUAUCAACGGUAUCUAGAAUAAGUUUUAGAACCACCUUACUUACUUCCUCAUCUUCGUAAGACUACCCGCUGAACUUAAGCAUAUCAAUAAGCGGAGGAAAAGAAACCAACAGGGAUUGCCUCAGUAACGGCGAGUGAAGCGGCAAAAGCUCAAAUUUGAAAUCCUUCGGGAAUUGUAUUUUGAAGGUGGGUUUGGUUAGGAAAAGUUACUUUAAGUCCAUUGGAAAAUGGCGCCAUGGAGGGUGAUAGCCCCGUAAAAGUAUCCCUUUUCCUUUUAUCCAUUCCCUCCAAAGAGUCGAGUUGUUUGGGAAUGCAGCUCUAAGUGGGUGGUAAAUUCCAUCUAAAGCUAAAUAUUGGCGAGAGACCGAUAGCGAACAAGUACAGUGAUGGAAAGAUGAAAAGCACUUUGAAAAGAGAGUGAAAAAGUACGUGAAAUUGUUGAAAGGGAAGGGCUUGCAAGCAGACACAACCUCGGUUGGGCCAGCAUCGGAGUGGGGGGAGACAAAAAAGAAAAGGAAUGUAACUCUUUCGAGUAUUAUAGCCUUUUUCUCAUAUCUCCACCCCCUUCCGAGGCCUGCGAUUCUUCAAGGAUGCUGGCGUAAUGGUUGCAAGUCGCCCGUCUUGAAACACGGACCAAGGAGUCUAACGUCUAUGCGAGUGUUUGAGUACUAAACCCAAACGCGCAAUGAAAGUAAUAGGAGCGAACCUCACGGUGCAGCUCCGACCACAUUAAGGCCUAAACCAUAAUGUGAGUAAGCAUGGCUGUUGGGACCCGAAAGAUGGUGAACUAUACCUGGAUAGGGUGAAGCCAGAGGAAACUCUGGUGGAGGCUCGUAGCGGUUCUGACGUGCAAAUCGAUCGUCGAAUCUGGGUAUAGGGGCGAAAGACUAAUCGAACCAUCUAGUAGCUGGUUCCUGCCGAAGUUUCCCUCAGGAUAGCAGAAGCUCGUUACAAACAGUUUUAUGAGGUAAAGCGAAUGAUUAGACGUCUCGGGGCGAAAUAGCCUUAGCGUAUUCUCAAACUUUAAAUAUGUAAGAAGCCUUCCUUUUUUAAUUAAAGGUAGGCAUGAAUGUAGAGCUUUUAGUGGGCCAUUUUUGGUAAGCAGAACUGGCGAUGCGGGAUGAACCGAACGUGAAGUUAAAGUGCCAGAAUACACGCUCAUCAGACACCACAAAAGGUGUUAGUUCAUCUAGACAGCCGGACGGUGGCCAUGGAAGUCGGAAUCCGCUAAGGAGUGUGUAACAACUCACCGGCCGAAUGAACUAGCCCUGAAAAUGGAUGGCGCUUAAGCGUGUUACUUAUACUUCGCCCUAAACCAAUAGGUUUAGGAGUAGGCAGGCGUGGAGGUAGUGACGAAGCCUUGGAUGUGAAUCUGGGUCGAACUUCCUCUAGUGCAGAUCUUGGUGGUAGUAGCAAAUAUUCAAAUGAGAACUUUGAAGACUGAAGUGGGGAAAGGUUCCAUGUCAACAGCAGAUGAACAUGGGUUAGUCGAUCCUAACCUCUAAGUUAAACCUGAUUUAACUCCUCUAUUUCUAGAGGGUUGAGGGAAAGGGAAUUUGGUUAAUAUUCCAAAACUUGGAUAUGGAGUUUCACGGUAACGUAACUGAAUGUGGAGACGUCGGCGUGGGCCCUGGAAGAAGUUUUCUUUUUCUUCUAACAGCUUAUGACCCUGGAUGGAUUAACCAGAGAUGGGGUUUUAUGGCUGGAAGAGCAACCCUUUAUGGGUUGUCCGGUGCGCCUACGACGGUCCUUGAAAAUCCACAGGAAGGAUUUACUUUCAUGCCAAGUCGUACUGAUAACCGCAGCAGGUCUCCAAGGUUAACAGCCUCUAGUUGAUAGAAUAAUGUAGAUAAGGGAAGUCGGCAAAAUAGAUCCGUAACUUCGGGAUAAGGAUUGGCUCUAAGGGUUGGAGGGAUUCGGGUGUUUUGGCUAAGGUGGAAAGGAUUUUAGGGCCUGGGGCUUUUCGGAGCUCUGGGCCUUUUAGUCCUCUCUACCCCACCCUUUUCACCCUCCCCUCACUAACAACCAUCUUAGAACUGGUACGGACAAGGGGAAU